rnacentral:rRNA from 1 species
GACGAACGCUGGCGGCGUGCCUAAUACAUGCAAGUCGAACGCUGAAGGAGGAGCUUGCUUCUCUGGAUGAGUUGCGAACGGGUGAGUAACGCGUAGGUAACCUGCCUGGUAGCGGGGGAUAACUAUUGGAAACGAUAGCUAAUACCGCAUAACAGUAGAUAUCGCAUGAUAUCUACUUGAAAGGUGCAAUUGCAUCACUACCAGAUGGACCUGCGUUGUAUUAGCUAGUUGGUGAGGUAACGGCUCACCAAGGCGACGAUACAUAGCCGACCUGAGAGGGUGAUCGGCCACACUGGGACUGAGACACGGCCCAGACUCCUACGGGAGGCAGCAGUAGGGAAUCUUCGGCAAUGGACGGAAGUCUGACCGAGCAACGCCGCGUGAGUGAAGAAGGGUUUCGGAUCGUAAAGCUCGGUUGUAAGAGAAGAACGAGUGUGAGAGUGGAAAGUUCACACUGUGACGGUAGCUUACCAGAAAGGGACGGCUAACUACGUG